rnacentral:rRNA from 1 species
CCUACGGGAGGCAGCAGUGAGGAAUAUUGGUCAAUGGGCGGAAGCCUGAACCAGCCAAGUCGCGUGAGGGAAUAAGGCCCUACGGGUCGUAAACCUCUUUUGCCGGGGAGCAAGGGCGUGGACGUGUCCCCGCCCGGAGAGUACCCGGAGAAAAAGCAUCGGCUAACUCCGUGCCAGCAGCCGCGGUAAUACGGAGGAUGCGAGCGUUAUCCGGAUUUAUUGGGUUUAAAGGGUGCGUAGGCGGGCUUUUAAGUCAGCGGUAAAAAUUCGGGGCUCAACCCCGUCCGGCCGUUGAAACUGGGGGCCUUGAGUGGGCGAGAAGAAGGCGGAAUGCGUGGUGUAGCGGUGAAAUGCAUAGAUAUCACGCAGAACCCCGAUUGCGAAGGCAGCAUUCCGGCGCCCUACUGACGCUGAGGCACGAAAGUGCGGGGAUCGAACAGGAUUAGAUACCCUAGUAGGC